rnacentral:rRNA from 1 species
GAACGCUGGCGGCGUGCCUAACACAUGCAAGUCGAGCGGGGUUGAGGCGAGAGGUAACUCGAACUUCUACCUAGCGGCGGACGGGUGAGUAACGCGUGGGCAACCUGCCUCAAGGUUUGGGAUAACAGCCCGAAAGGGCUGCUAAUACCGGAUAUGCCUAUGGCCUCGCAUGGGGCUAUGAGCAAAGGGGAAACCCGCCUUGAGAUGGGCCCGCGUCCCAUCAGCUAGUUGGUGAGGUAACAGCUCACCAAGGCGACGACGGGUAGCCGGCCUGAGAGGGUGACCGGCCACACUGGGACUGAGACACGGCCCAGACUCCUACGGGGGGCAGCAGUGGGGGAUCUUGCACAAUGGGCGAAAGCCUGAUGCAGCGACGCCGCGUGAGCGAAGAAGGCCUUCGGGUUGUAAAGCUCUGUCUGGAGGGACGAACAAAAUGACGGUACCUCCGGAGGAAGCCACGGCUAACUACGUG